CAGCAGCCGCGGUAAUACGAAGGGGGCUAGCGUUGCUCGGAAUUACUGGGCGUAAGGGGCGCGUAGGCGGACAGUUCAGUCGGGGGUGAAAGCCCGGGGCUCAACCUCGGAAUUGCCUUCGAUACUGGGGAUCUUGAGUCCGGGAGAGGUGAGUGGAACUGCGAGUGUAGAGGUGAAAUUCGUAGAUAUUCGCAAGAACACCAGUGGCGAAGGCGGCUCACUGGCCCGGAACUGACGCUGAGACGCGAAAGCGUGGGGAGCAAACAGGAUUAGAUACCCGCGUAGUCCCUGUCUCUUAUAC
rnacentral:rRNA from 1 species